GACGAACGCUGGCGGCGUGCUUAACACAUGCAAGUCGAGCGGUAAGGCCCUUUCGGGGUACACGAGCGGCGAACGGGUGAGUAACACGUGGUGACCUGCCCUCAGCUCUGGGAUAAGCCCGGGAAACUGGGUCUAAUACCGGAUAUGACUCCAUGACGCAUGUUGUGGGGUGGAAAGCCUUGUGCGGCUGAGGAUGGGCCCGCGGCCUAUCAGCUUGUUGGUGGGGUGAUGGCCACCAAGGCGACGACGGGUAGCCGGCCUGAGAGGCGACCGGCCACACUGGGACUGAGAUACGGCCCAGACUCCUACGGGAGGCAGCAGUGGGGAAUCUUGCGCAAUGGGCGAAAGCCUGACGCCAGCGACGCCGCGUGAGGGAUGACGGCC
rnacentral:rRNA from 1 species